UGACAAUAAGAAAAUGUCAUCUUCACAUAUACCGGUUCGUCGAUUUGGUUGACCCUGGAAGUGAGAAUUGAAAAGCUUCUACGUACCAAAUUGAAAUGAAUAAAGUCAAGUCUCAUUUGAGACACGUCUGGAUGAAUUUUUUUCACUUUUAAUGUGCACGAUGACAUUUUUUUUGAAAGAUCCGGGAAAUCUGGAUUAACGAACAAACGCCGAAACCUAAAGCGCAGGGACCAUGAGAAGAACCACCUUGAAUCCUACAUUCGUACGUGUUCAUACAAAUACCUGAAGAAAAGGAAGAUUGAAGAUAAUGGGAAGAUUCCAGAUUUUCAGUUUACCUUUUCUUCUGCCGUCAGUUUUUGAAAGACACUCUUCUUCGAAAGGAAUCGGAAAGAAAUUCAAAACUGCCAAAAAAUAGAUACCUAGUUGCUUUCAUUUUAAAAUUUAAAAACUAUUUAAAUGUAAUUUAAAACAGUUCUACUAUUUCAUCAAGAAAUGGUUUGAUCAGAAACUACGGUAAACACCUUUUCC